UACGGGGGGGGGCAAGCGUUGUUCGGAAUUACUGGGCGUAAAGGGCGCGUAGGCGGCCAACUAAGUCGGACGUGAAAUCCCCAGGCUCAACCUGGGAACUGCGUCCGAUACUGGAUGGCUUGAAUCCGGGAGAGGGAUGCAGAAUUCCAGGUGUAGCGGUGAAAUGCGUAGAUAUCUGGAGGAAUACCGGUGGCGAAGGCGGCAUCCUGGACCGGCAUUGACGCUGAGGAGCGAAAGCCAGGGGAGCAAACGGG
rnacentral:rRNA from 1 species